rnacentral:lncRNA from 1 species
CACCCCUAUUCGUUGAUGAAAAUCGUCGGGCUUUCCAAGAAUCGGUGGUAUUCGACGUCGCGCGUCUUCUCGAUGCUACGGCGAGUUUGGGAAGGAUUCGAAACGACUUCGGAUCCAUCAACGUGUGCGGUUUCUCCCUCGACGAAAAGAGGGGGAGGGAGAGGGAGAGGGUAAUACUACCGCUCCUGUUCAGCGUCUACCGGCUCUAUCGAGAAGGUGACAGCAUGAACGCGACCAACGGCACGCAAGGUGGACCAAUUUAACGAUCGAUCCCCGACCACCUGAUUUUCUCAGUCGUCUUCAAAGUGUUCUAAGUGGAACGUGCUAUCCAACGGUCGAAUCUCUUUAUUCCUUUUAUAUCUACAAAAUGGUAUUUCAAUGUACCAAAGAGAGAGAGAGAGAGUACCUUUCAACGAGCAUACCGUCAAAGAGCAACACGUGAAUAAUAGUCAGAACGUUAACAGCCGUUUUUAAGUACUUUACCCUGACUGUCGUUGGUAACAAAAAACCAAAGGGGAAGGGAAAAAAGUGGAUGACCUCGUUAAAUUACAUGGGACGCGUGAAAUACUUGCAUCGCAAAUCGUUCUCGCGUGAGUGAAUGAGUGAAUGCGUGCGUGCGUGCGUGCGCACGCCCCGUUUAAACGCGACGAGCCGAUGGGCAAAGAAGGAUGCAACCAACGGAUGCAUCGCACCCCUCCCCCCCGCCCUUUUCGAAGCUGCCUCUUUAAUUCCGCAGUUAUUCGACUCGUCGUGCCGAAUAUCUUUAAAGCUCUUCUCGCGUGGGAUUAUUCGAAGAAAACUUGGAUUCCCUUUGCGAACUUGUACGCGUUAAUGAUCCUCAAAGUUAUUUCAAUAAGUUCAUAUUUUUAAUACUGCGAGCAAUUAAAUCGUUCAUUGAAAUUCUUCGUCUCCGUGUUAUCUUAUGAUAUUAAAAAUAAGCCAUUAUAUUUUUCAUUUAUUCGCUAACUAUAAUGAAAUAUAUUAUACUCGUUGGAUAAUGUCAAAUAAUUUGUCUAAAAUAUCGUCCAAACCAUUGUAUCUCUGUUAAAAGUUGAAUUUCGUUUGAACGAGAACGUUUAAGCGCUCAUAAUAAAUCGCUUUGACGCUGAUUUACCUCGAAA